UAUUGAAAUGACAGACAAAUGUACAGGACUUAAGCUCCUGCUAUGGAGAACUCCUUUCUCCUUUCAAUAA
rnacentral:tRNA from 1 species